ACCAGCUACAGAGAGACAGAGACAUCUUCCAGAGAUUAUUGGUGAAAUGUCCAAAUGGAUGGAAAGUGUUUGGUAACCGCUCCUAUUACGUCUCAACGGAGAAAAAUAACUGGGAAUAUGCCAACCAGGACUGUCUGAAGAGAGGGGCACAGCUAGUCAUCAUAAACAACCAAGAGGAACAGAAAUUCCUAAUUACAUUAAACAUACGUUCUUGGAUCGGUCUGACUGACCGUGAGACUGAGGGGACCUGGAAAUGGGUG